GAAACGCGAUAAGUAGUGUGAAUUGCAGAAUUCAGUGAAUCAUCGAAUCUUUGAACGCACAUGGCGCCCCCUGGUAUUCCGGGGGGCAUGCCUGUCCGAGCGUCGUUUCAACCCUCGGGACUGCCCUUUCGCGGGGCGGUCCCGGCGUUGGGGAUCUACGACCGGGCGCCCACCGGCGCCCCCGUAGGCCCUGAAAAGCAGCGGCGGACCCGCGGCGGCCCUCCCCUUGCGUAGUAGCUAACGCCUCGCAUCGGGACCCCGCGUGCCCCAGCCCCUAAACCCCCAUCCAAGCCCGCCCCCGGCGGCACAAGGUUGACCUCGGAUCAGGUAGGAAUACCCGCUGAACUUAA
rnacentral:misc_RNA from 1 species